rnacentral:lncRNA from 1 species
UGGGGUCAUAAUUAACUACUGUUAACCCUAUAACAUAUGCUUAGUUGUUUGAUAUAUUUUUUGUAAGUUCAUAAGCAUUACAUUAUUUAUGAUUGUAAUCAUUAUUUUUAUGAAGAUUGUAUGUAGGGGUGGUUUUUUCUAGCUUGUACAUUUUUAGACAUAUAUAUCUAUAGUCCAAAUUGUGUGACUUAUUUAGCAGACACUCGGUUUGAGUUAUUUUUCAAAUUUUGCUUCUCAACUAUUUUUCCUAUAAUUUAGCACUAGUCUCUAGAACAGCACCUAGUAAGAAUAUUUGUGAUACUUCAAAUAUUUGAGUAUCCAUAUAAUUAUAAAGAAAAUGGGUUUUAGAUAGUGAUUGAAUCAUAACUGAAAACAGGGAUCAUAGUCCUAAAUUAAUUGUAUGUGUAUAUUAUGAAGGUCAUUGGUUGUGUUUCCAUGUCAGGCUAAAUAUUCGCGUUUCCUGACAUGUGAGGAGCUCCUACAAGUAGUAGAAAGGCAGCCACUUCAUCCCUCCCUCUCCCUCCCCUUACACUUUACUUUGUUAAGUUGGCAGUCAUGACUACAACAGCUCUUUCUAUUUAAUUCUGCAGGGAGCUUGAGGAGCCAUCCGCCGACGACCUCAGUGUCGCCGACUUUAUACAUCUUGAGAAACAAUUUGAGACUGCACUAAUACAGGCCAGAGCAACUAAGGUAACUGAACUUUCAUUCUUAAUAUGAAGUGAUAAUGAGUUAUGCUGCUUACCAGCCAACUGUUUUGUCGUAUCGGCAUGCCUUUGUGUUAAAAGUUAUGCCCAUUUGCAGUCCAAGCAGAUGAUUCCGUUGAUUCUCAAACCUAGGAAGGAGCUCAGGCAAAAUUAUACUACAAGAUGAGAAAUGCUUGUUUGGUCUUCUAAUAAAAAAUAAAAAUAUAUAUAUGCACUAGGAAGGAGCUUGUGUAUAUAUAUAUAUCUCCUGACUGACCACAUAUUAUCAAAUGCAUAAUCUGGAUUGAGUUGAGCGACCUAUUAUACGUACAUAUGUAUCAAUUUUACAAUUUUCUUAUGCUUAACUUCCAUUAAUAGUUGGUAGAUUGAUUCUUAUUUGAUUGCCGAGUUUGUUGCUUAUGCAGACACAAUUGCUUCUGAAGUCUAUAUCAAGCCUCGAGGGAAAGGUAAACAUUUGCAUCUUGUAUUUUUGGUGAAGACUGCUAAGCCAUGAACCAUGCAAAUGAGUUAUAUAUAUUCACAACGGGUUUAAACAUAAGGAGAGGAAUUAAAGAGAUGCUGUGUAUUACAAAAGUGGAAAAGUUAAGGAGUCACCUUAUUUAUACCUUGAUUUUGAACAGGAAAAGCUGUUAGAGGAAGAGAAGAUGUUGUUGAAGGGGAAGGUAUAUUUGUAGACUUGGAUAUACAAUACAACUGAAGUAAUGAUGUUUAGUUAGUAACUCACUGAUUAAGAACAGAUUGGUGGGAGCAAGACGAAAAUACCGGUGAUCGAUCUCAACGCCCUUCCUUCCGAGGAGUGAAUGGCUGAAUACUAGCUCAAGCUCUCAGAAUAAUAAGUGGCAAGAAACACAUUCACAGCUCAGUUUUUACAUUCUGAAAGCCCGAGCAAAUCACACAUUCUCUCACCUUCUUGACGAAACCGGAUGCAUAUAUAUAUUGGUGGUUCAGCAUGGAAAUAAACAAGAAGAAAGCAACAUCCAUGGCAAAAAGAAAAGAGAUGAGACGUGGCGGAAUGUGAUUGGGGAGAAUCCACCUUUCAUCAAAGACUAAUGCGUCUCCACUUGUAUUUGUAUCAUAUUCAUAUAUAUACGCUCAAGAGAGAUGCUGCGAUUUAUUUAAAUCUUAAUUAAUACCUGAAUAAAUACUCGUAUAGACAGUCGACGGUAGGGAAAGUAGAAGAAAGACGUGGUGGAAUGUGAGUGCUACAAUAUUAAUUAGGCUGCCCACUUUGUUUUUUAACAACAUAACUUUAAUGGAAUCGCAUCUACGUCGACGAUACGUUCACUUCUCUGCACCCAUAGCUUAAUCGAAUAGAUUAUAGAGCCAAAUGUGCCACGUCUACACGUCGUCUCCUCCCAAUAAUUCAUAUGCAUG